rnacentral:lncRNA from 1 species
UUUCUUUUCUUCUUCUCUUUAUACGUUGGUGUUCUAACCAAUAAUCACCAAUAUGAUAUUCUGUCCGAUCGAUCCAGGAACCAACUAACGAAUGCCAAAGUGCUGUCUAAAUAAGACUAUACUUUGUUGAAUUUCGUUAAAGUUCUGAUCUCUUGACCAUCGUUAGCUUUGAUAUGGUUUUACACUAAUACGUAUUCCACUCUGUUAAACUAUAUGUUUAACCAUCAGAAAACUCCAAACUAUACACUUACAAUCAAACAAGAUGUUUAAUCAUCAGAAGAUUCAGACCUCUAAAGUAGAUGCUUAGUUAUCAGAAGACUUAGAAUCAAGAGGCUUGAAGACUAUAUGCUCAUAAGGUGAGACCAACCGAACCGAGGAUGAACUUUCUUCACAUUUCAGGGUUAUCCGUGGGAAAAGUGCGAGAUUUGAUUUGCUUUUCAACAAUGUGGAAAAUGUCGACGGGGAGCUAACGUAAAAUGACGUGAUUCAAGUGGCCCUCAUCGACUACAAACAUAUGUACGUCCAUGACUUUAAACACGUUUCGGCCUAGCAAAUUAUAAGAAUGUUUGUUUAAUUAUGUUUAAUAAUGUAUUUUCAGUUUUUUUAUGUCUUUGCUUAAUUAUGUUUAGGUUUAAUAUUUAAUUUGAAUUAUGUAAUGUUUAACUUUUAUGUUGAAUUGUUUA